AAUCAACGCUGGCGGCGUGCUUAACACAUGCAAGUCGAGCGGUAAGGCCCUUCGGGUACGACGAGCGGCGAACGGGUGAGUAACACGUGGGUGACCUGCCUCUAGCUCUGGGAUAAGCCUGGGAAACUGGGUCGUAAUACCGGAUAUGACUCCACGGCGCAUGUUGUGGGGUGGAAAGCCUUGUGUGGCUAGAGAUGGGCCCGCGGCCUAUCAGCUUGUUGGUGGGGUGAUGGCCUACCAAGGCGACGACGGGUAGCCGGCCUGAGAGGGCGACCGGCCACACUGGGACUGAGACACGGCCCAGACUCCUACGGGAGGCAGCAGUGGGGAAUCUUGCGCAAUGGGCGAAAGCCUGACGCAGCGACGCCGCGUGAGGGAUGACGGCCU
rnacentral:rRNA from 1 species